UUUUUCCGCACUGCGGCAGUGCCGAUAGCCACUACCUAGCCUAGCUAGCCAAAGAAGGUUUGUAAAAAACAGAGGCCUAGGCUUCCCGCCAUAACGAGUGAUUGUUGUUAUUGUCGACGUUUAUUCUCCAUAUUUACACCGUGUUGCUAUGAAAUAACGCUUUCAACUAUUACAGAGCAUUCUGGUGCAUGGAAAUGUGUAAAAUAUGGAAAAGGCAGAAGAUAAGACGUUUGAUGGGAAGAUGAAUAGGCCUAGUAUGCAGUCUGUCAAGAGCUCUGUGGAUCAAGGGCCCUCAAAUACCGGUGACGAGCAACCACCACCGCCACGACAGUCUAAGGAGAACCAGUUGCAGAAAACCCGAAAGAGUUUGGGCAAUGUAUGUCGUCAUCACCUGAGCAUGUGGUGGAGGAGAAAUUUCUAUUAUCUUAUUGGCUAACAUGUGAUUUGGAGGCGUGGCUUCUUUGAUGGACUCACCCAGCGCGACUGCCGAACUUUGAACUUUAACUUUGUUUAC